rnacentral:rRNA from 1 species
UACGGGGGGGGCAAGCGUUGUUCGGAAUUACUGGGCGUAAAGGGCUCGUAGGCGGCCAACUAAGUCAGACGUGAAAUCCCUCGGCUUAACCGGGGAACUGCGUCUGAUACUGGAUGGCUUGAGAUUGGGAGAGGGACGCGGAAUUCCAGGUGUAGCGGUGAAAUGCGUAGAUAUCUGGAGGAACACCGGUGGCGAAGGCGGCGUCCUGGACCAACACUGACACUGAAAAGCGAAAGCCAGGGGAGCAAACGGG